rnacentral:rRNA from 1 species
UACGUAGGUGGCAAGCGUUGUCCGGAUUUACUGGGCGUAAAGGGCGUGCAGGCGGUUUGUUAAGUGCAGGGUGAAAGCUCCCGGCUCAACUGGGAGAGGUCCUUGCAUACUGGCAAACUCGAGGGAGGCAGAGGAAAGUGGAAUUCCCGGUGUAGUGGUGAUAUGCGUAGAUAUCGGGAGGAACACCUGUGGCGAAGGCGGCCUGCUGGGACAGUGCUGACGCUGAGGCGCGACAGCGUGGGGAGCAAACAGG